AACGAACGCUGGCGGCAUGCCUAACACAUGCAAGUCGAACGGGCAGGGGCAACCCUGUCAGUGGCGGACGGGUGAGUAACGCGUGGGGACCUGCCUCGAAGUUCGGAAUAACCGCGGGAAACUGCGGCUAAUACCGGAUGUGGCCUGCGGGCCAAAGGGGAAACUCGCUUCGAGAGGGGCCCGCGUCCGAUUAGCUAGUUGGCGGGGUAACGGCCCACCAAGGCGACGAUCGGUAGCUGGUCUGAGAGGAUGAUCAGCCACACUGGGACUGAGACACGGCCCAGACUCCUACGGGAGGCAGCAGUGGGGAAUAUUGGACAAUGGGGGCAACCCUGAUCCAGCAAUGCCGCGUGAGUGAUGAAGGCCUUCGGGUUGUAAAGCUCUUUUGGCGGGGACGAUGAUGACGGUACCCGCAGAAUAAGCCCCGGCUAACUUCGUGCCAGCAGCCGCAGUAACAC
rnacentral:rRNA from 1 species